rnacentral:rRNA from 1 species
UUCAACGGAGAGUUUGAUCCUGGCUCAGGAUGAACGCUGGCGGCGUGCUUAACACAUGCAAGUCGAACGAUGAUCUCAGCUUGCUGGGGGAUUAGUGGCGAACGGGUGAGUAACACGUGAGUAACCUGCCCUUGACUCUGGGAUAAGCCUGGGAAACUGGGUCUAAUACCGGAUACGACCAUCUGGCGCAUGUCAUGGUGGUG